ACUGGCGACGUGCGGGCCUGUGGUUGGGCGUGGGCGUGAACCCUAGCCCCCAGUCUCCAGCCGCCACACCCCUCCCUCCUCCUCACUCCCUCGCCACACCGUCGCACCAUCUCCCUCCUCCCUCAUCACCAGCCACAGCACCAGGACAUUUGCCACCGACGAGAUCCAGCGCCUGGCAAGGUCCUCGGGUCGGCUGUCGCACCCACCACUCCGUCGACCGGAUCUGCGCCCUUGACUCCCUCUUCUCUCGCGUCACGCGGUGCCUCUGCUCCACCAUGCCGUGGUUACCUCAUGGAUGACGAGGCCAUGGACAUGUCCUUGAGGGAGAGAAGGAAUAUGACGGAGAGAGAACAAAGAAGGAAGGAGAGGCAGGAGAAGGAGAGAGGAAAGAGGAGAGGGAGGUGCAGCGGCGGAUGGGAGAUGGUCAUCGGCUGACAUUAGUCAUUCAUCCAUUCGCAUCUCUCCUCCUCUCCUGCUCUCGACCACCAAUGCGCCCCCUCCUCCUUCCCUUCUCUUCUCACCAUCUCCUCUUCUUUGGAGCUAGCUGAGUGAUCCACGGCGAGGAAGAUAGGGAAGACAGAGCCAACACCCCCAAUGCCCACGGGCCACUUCAGUCAGGUGCCUUCCAUACUUCCUCCUUCGCGAUUUCCAAUCCAAGCAGAGCAUAAAAUGGAGUCGGCAACAGGGAUGAUGGGAGAAACAAUGGUGGAUGAACAGUGGACACCCGAUUCUGGCUGAGAAAGAGGGAAGCAGUGCGUGGCGGAAGAGGCGUCCAUGUGGUAUCCAUUUCUGGUCAUCUUCAGCUUGCAGGUGAGCGGUUUACUAAAAUUGUAGCCAGUCCAUACUACAUGCUCCCAGAGGUAUUAAAGCACAAGUGCGGCCCUGAAAUCGAUGUCUGGAUUGUAGGAGUUAUACUUUACAUACUUCUUUGUGGUGUGCAAACAUUUUUGGAAGAUUCUGAACAGGGAGUAGCACAAGCAAUUAUGUGCUCUAUGGUAGAUUUCAAAAGAGACCCAAGGCCUGGAGUAUCUGAGCCUGCUAAAGACUUUGUUCGACAGACGCUGGAUCCAGAUCCAAUCACACGGUUUACUACAACACACGUACUCGGUGGUGUCUGUCGGUAGGGUCUCCCUAAACACGCGUCAUCAAAUCCAACUGCAAGAUACAUGACAAGCUAUGAUUGAAUACCAUGUACAAGUAUGGGGACAAAAUAGUAAACAACAAAUAAAGGAUACUAGACGGAGAUACUGGACGGACGCAUGGAGCAUGAACUCCUCUUUUUCAGGGGCCACCUUACUUGUGUGCCCUCAGGACGAGGAGACCUUUCUAAGAUCAAUAUCCUUGCCGAAAUAUUUCCCUGGGCUGAAUACACUUCUUAUCCCAAAGCGAUAAACAUGCCUAUGUGAGCAUCACGACCCACAUAGCACUAGCAAACAGUUCUGUAUGAAAUCCUGGAAGCAUUUCAUUUUCUCAGCAAUUAUUUUCUUUAGAUCUUUCAACAACGUGGUGACUGUUCAUGUCCUUAAUUAAUCCAAACCUACAUCCCUUGUUAAAUCUAAAGACGUGUUUGCAUAAUUUUGUGAGUUUUUCCCAUGCUUUGUUGAUUUUUUUCCCUCUUAAUCUUUUAUUGUCUGUAAGUCACCAAAUGCAGAAGAUAGAUAUAGUUGUGAAGAUAAUGAAAACUUAAUAGUUUUAUAUGGUGAAGCAACCAUUUUAAGGACAACUGAUAAGGAAAAGUCGAACAAGGAUUAGUAGUCCAGUGUUUGGUUACUAUGCAACUAUCUUCAGCUUGAGUAAAUCCACAGUGUUCAGUUCAAGCCAUGUUUUGUAGGUAUCUUCCUUUACAUUUUCUUUACAAAAUGGUUUGUUGAUCUAGCCGAGGGCUUCACUUCAUUCAAUUCACUAUAUUUCAUUUACUAAGAUAAAAAUUCAAGUAGCUGCUGUUGCUAUGGUCAAUGGCUUGCACACUAUUUUUAUAGUGCAUAAUGAGCGUUGCAAACCGUAAGAAAAACACAUGUUCUUGUUCUAUUCAGUGUCCUUUUUAUGCCAUACUGCGCAAAUAUAUAAAUGUUUUAUGUCCAAUUCAUAGAAAUUCUUGACACCUAAGUGUGCGUGUGAGUCCCCUACAAAAUCUCUCUCUCUCUCUCUAAUUAUCUCGAUUUUCCUUUGAGAUUGGAGAUGCGAACACUAGCUGUUUGUAAAUGCACAAGGAGGAGUGCUCAGGGGAGUACGAUAGCUUUCAGUGUACAUGGAGGAUGUGAAAGCGACGACAGAGGAGCUUGCUGUAGCUACUCGACUGCUCCGGGAAUCGUCCCUCCUGACAGAAGCAAGCACGAUGCCAUGUCCUAGAGUCUACUUGUUUUAGGUAGCAUUGCUUUCUGGAAUACAUCAUUGGAACCUGGUAACAUUCACUGCUUACAGUCAGCAAGACCAGAAGAACAUGAUUGUGUAUGAGUUCAUGCACAACGAAAGCAUCACCUUAGUUGAUGUUAAAUUUUCUUUGUGGAAUCAACAACACGCUAUUGUAUAUACACAUAUGGUUCUUUCGCAGCAAAAUUUUGUCCGUGCGGUUGUAUUUCAGAUCUUUAGAACUGCAGGGUGUUAUUAAUAUGGUGAGUGAUUGAAGAGGAGGCAUGAGGAGAAGAGCAGUCCAAAGGGCGGGUGGAGCAUGUGACUUGUUGAUGUUAGUUUUCAUUUCCGGGAAGAAUAAAUUUUCUAUGAUUUUAGUGUAUGCUGAUGUGUGAAAGUCAAUCAUUUGGAUUCCCAAUUAGACUAUUGUGUGUGUUAGAUAUUUUAUUGUGCAUUGAUAAAAUGUUUCAGUGCCAGUGUGCACAAGUUGAAUUUUGAAACAGAUGA